GGUAGCAUGGUGUAGUGGUUUGAGUGCUGGACUAUGGCUCUGGAGACCAGGGUUCGGAUCCCAGCUGAGCCA